UGCAUAUCAAUAAGCGGAGGAAAAGAAACCAACAGGGAUUGCCUUAGUAGCGGCGAGUGAAGCGGCAAAAGCUCAAAUUUGAAAUCUGGCUCUUUCAGAGUCCGAGUUGUAAUUUGAAGAAGGUAUCUUUGGGUCUGGCUCUUGUCUAUGUUUCUUGGAACAGAACGUCACAGAGGGUGAGAAUCCCGUGCGAUGAGAUGAUCCAGGCCUAUGUAAAGUUCCUUCGAAGAGUCGAGUUGUUUGGGAAUGCAGCUCUAAGUGGGUGGUAAAUUCCAUCUAAAGCUAAAUAUUGGCGAGAGACCGAUAGCGAACAAGUACAGUGAUGGAAAGAUGAAAAGAACUUUGAAAAGAGAGUGAAAAAGUACGUGAAAUUGUUGAAAGGGAAGGGCUUGAGAUCAGACUUGGUAUUUUGUAUGUUACUUCUUCGGGGGUGGCCUCUACAGUUUAUCGGGCCAGCAUCAGUUUGGGCGGUAGGAGAAUUGCGUUGGAAUGUGGCACGGCUUCGGUUGUGUGUUAUAGCCUUCGUCGAUACUGCCAGCCUAGACUGAGGACUGCGGUUUAUACCUAGGA
rnacentral:rRNA from 1 species